GGUGCGGUGCUGGGGGAGGAGCCUCAGACCCUUCCCCUGCAGGUGUAAGUCCCUAUUGGUCUGAGAGGCCCUCAGGUUGUCUGAAUGAUUGAAGGGAGAGGGCGGGGAAGCCAGUUAAGGGGCCAAAGUAGGUGCCCAUGGAGAGAGCUGGGCCUGCCCUGAAAUCUCUGCUGCUUCCUGCUGUCUGGAGAGCCUUCUGUUCCCCAGGUCCGUGUCUCAGCUAUGCUCCCCACGGACGAGCUCCUGUCCCACCUGGGCCCCUCACUGCUGCUAUUGCUGCAGCUGCAGCUACUGCUGCCCCCUGCAUCUGCCUUCUUCCCCAAUAUCUGGAGCCUCCUGGCUGCCCCCGGCUCCAUCACCCACCAGGACCUGACCGAGGAGGCGGCACUCAACGUCACCCUGCAGCUCUUCCUGGAGCAGCCGCCCCCAGGUCGGCCCCCCCUUCGCCUUGAGGACUUCCUGGGCCGCACCCUCCUUGCCGACAACCUCUUUGCCGCCUACUUCGGACCUGGGUCUCCUUCCCGGCGGUUCCGAGCAGCCUUAGGAGAGGUGUCUCGUGCCAAUGCCGCCCAGGACUUCCUGCCGACUUCUAGGAAUGACCCUGACUUGCACUUUGAUGCCGAGCGGCUGGGCCAGGGGCGCACACGCCUGGUGGGAGCUCUAGGGGAGACUGUGGUGGCGGCCAGAGCCCUUGACCACACCCUGGCCCGCCAGCGCCUCGGGGCUGCGCUUCAUGCCUUGCAGGAUUUCUACAGUCACAGCAACUGGGUGGAACUGGGGAAGCAGCAGCCACACCCUCACCUCCUCUGGCCAAGGCAGGGGCUGCGGAACGUGGCGCAAGUGGGCGACCCUACCUGCUCCGACUGUGAGGGGUUGAGCUGCCCUGGGAAUUUGCUGGGCUUCACACUCCUCACCUCUGGCUACUUUGGAACUCAUCCCUCCAAACCUCCAGGAAAAUGUAGCCAUGGGGGCCAUUUUGACCAGAGCAGCUCCCAGCCACCACGGGGAGGCAUCAACAAGGAUAGCACAUCCCCAGGCUUCUCCCCCCACCACAUGCUGCACCUCCAGGCUGCAAACCUGGCCCUUCUGGCCUCCAUCCAGGCCUUCAGCCUCCUACGAAGCCGCCUGGGAGACAGGGGUUUCUCCAGGCUGCUGGACAUCACCCCAGCCUCCAGCCUGAGCUUCGUCCUGGAUACCACAGGCAGUAUGGGUGAGGAGAUCAAUGCCGCCAAAAUCCAGGCUCGCCACAUUGUGGAGCAGCGACGGGGUGGCCCCAUGGAGCCCACCCACUAUGUCCUGGUGCCUUUCCAUGACCCAGGGUUUGGCCCCGUCUUUACAACCAGUGACCCUGACAGCUUCUGGCAACAACUCAAUGAGAUACAUGCCUUGGGAGGUGGAGAUGAGCCCGAGAUGUGCCUGUCAGCCCUGGAGCUGGCCCUGCUGCACACACCUCCACUCUCAGACAUCUUCGUCUUCACUGACGCCUCCCCCAAGGAUGCCUUUCUCACCAACCGGGUGGAAUCUCUGACUCAGGAGCGGCGUUGCAGAGUCACAUUCCUGGUGACUGAAGACCCAUCUAGGGUUCAGGGCCGACCUCGGCGUGAAGUCUUGUCCCCUCUGCGUUUUGAGCCGUAUGAAGCGGUGGCGCUGGCCUCCGGAGGAGAGGUGAUCUUCACCAAAGACCAGUACAUUAGGGAUGUGGCGGCCAUUGUUGGGGACAGCGUAGCUAACCUGGUGACCCUUCCCCUGGAGCCUCCUGUUGUGGUACCUGAGAGGCCACUCGUGUUCAGUGUGGAUGGGCUGCUCCAGAAGGUCACGGUCCGGAUCCAUGGGGAGGUCAGCAGCUUCUGGAUCAGAAACCCUGCAGGGGUCUCCCAGGGCCAGGAGGAAGGUGAGGGGCCUUUAGGUCAUACUCGCCGCUUUGGGCAGUUCUGGAUGGUGAGCAUGAAUGACCCCCUGCAGACAGGAACCUGGGAGAUCCAGGUCACAGCCAAGGGUACCCCCCGGGUGAGAGUGCAAGCCCAGACCUCCCUGGAUUUCCUCUUCCACUUUGGGAUCCCCAUGGAGGAUGGACCCCACCCUGGCCUCUACCCACUGACUCAACCAGUUGCUGGUCUCCAGACACAGCUGCUGGUAGAAGUGACAGGGCUGGGCUCCAGAAGAAACCCUGGAGAUCCUUUGCCACAUUUCUCCCACAUCGUCCUUCGAGGGGUCCCGCACGGUGCCGAGCUGGGCCGGGUGCCUUUGGAGCCCAUGGGACCCCGGGAGCGAGGUCUCCUCGCUGCCUCGCUACCGCCCACGCUUCUAUCCACCGCGGGACCCUUCUCUCUGGAGCUGAUUGGCCAGGACGGAGUCGGGCAGGGCCUGCACCGGGCGGCCCCCCAGCCCUGUGCUGUAGCUCCUGUCCUUCUGGAGGUGAGAUGCCAGCGGAAAGUGCGGCUGCGGCUGGAGAGAACAGGGCCUGCUGCUCCUCCCCUGACCGGCCCUCCUCCGCAGCUCAGUGGUCCCUCGGGUUUCCUGGCGCCGGGCACCGAGGCCCUUCUCAGCCUCCGCAUCGCCAGCUUCUCGGGCCCUCAGGAUCUCGAUCUUAGGACAUCCGUCAACCCCAGCUUCGCUCUCACCUCCAACCUCUCCAGGGUUCGCCUGGAACAGAACGAGUCCGCCUGGGGGUGCCUGUGGCUGAAGGUACCAGACACAGCCGCCUCAGACUCCGUGGUGAUGGUGACUGUGACCGCGAUAGAUCGAGAAGCCAGCACAGUAUCCCCGACCCAUGCCUUCCUCCGGCUGCUGGUGCUGGGCGCGGCCCCGCAGGUGAGGUGCCCCCACUUUCCAUUGCAGGAUAGGCAGGGUGAGGGGAGGGCAGUGCAGGCUUAUUUGGGUGCAGCCACCCUGACAGCUUCUCCCUCUUCUCCCCAGGACCAGCUCCCUGACCCUGUCCUCACAACCACCAGCCCUGCCUUUCACCUUUCCACGUUGGUGACUCCGGGCAGGGCUGGGGGAGGGCUGGUGGGCAACCCCUGGUGGGGCACAGUUGGAGCGGUGCAGCUCCUGCUAGGCCUGGCCUCCUGGUGACACAACAGCCCCUAGAGGGAUGGGUCUCCGGCACUGUUUGCCAUCUUGCCCCAUUGUGAGACAUCAAGAACCUCAAAUUCACUGGGAACAGAACUAUAGCAGCCGCUGCAGCAAAAAAGCUGGAAACUGAAACCAUGCACAGAGAAACUUCAGACAGUCACUGGAAACUUCGAAUAGCGGUGGAGGAAGAGUAGCUGGAAA